GGUCUCGUAGCUCAGCAGGAUAGAGCACCGGAUUCCUAAUCCGGGGGUCAUGGGUUCGAAUCCCGUCGAGAUCACCA
rnacentral:tRNA from 10 species